rnacentral:misc_RNA from 1 species
GGAAUUUGCUACCUUUUUGCGAGUUUUAGGAAGUUACCCUUCGGAUAGUGGAAUAGCUUGACAUUACAAGGCAAACACGUGAAGACGCUCUUAUGAAAGAUGCACGAUGGUGAAAUUGGUGGUUCCACUCUCCGAUGACUGAAACUCCAUUAUAGAUACCAUGCAACACUACGAUUUGAUACGUGUAAUUACUAAGUUCAUCUUCUUUUCUUGUGUUCUUUAUUUUCUCUCCCAGAUUUGUUCUCUUGGGUUCACUAGUCCUGGAGCAUACUGGUACUGAAGGAGUGAAAUGUAGAUGAUCA